GAUGAACGCUGACAGAAUGCUUAACACAUGCAAGUCUUUGGCGAAGCUGUGCUUGCACAGCCUAGCCAAGGCGGACGGGUGAGUAACGCGUAAGGAACUUGCCCUGCAGUCAGGGAUAACAGACGGAAACGACUGAUAAGACCUGGUAAAGUCAGGCGGACUCAUGUCCAGCCUGAUGAAAAGAGAUGCUGCAGGAGAGCCUUGCGUCCUAUUAGCUUGUUGGUGGGGUAACGGCCCACCAAGGCAAUGAUAGGUAGCCGGCCUGAGAGGGUGGACGGCCACAAGGGGACUGAGAUACGGCCCUUACUCCUACGGGAGGCAGCAGUGGGGAAUAUUGGACAAUGGGGGCAACCCUGAUCCAGCAAUUCUGUGUGCACGAUGAAGGUUUUCGGAUUGUAAAGUGCUUUCAGCAGGGAAGAAAAAAAUGACGGUACCUGCAGAAGAAGCGACGGCUAAAUACGUGCCAGCAGCCGCGGUAAUACGUAUGUCGCAAGCGUUAUCCGGAAUUAUUGGGCAUAAAGGGCAUCUAGGCGGCCAGAUAAGUCUGGGGCGAAAACUUGCGGCUCAACCGCAAGCCUGCCCUGGAAACUAUGUGGCUAGAGUACUGGAGAGGUGGACGGAACUGCACGAGUAGAGGUGAAAUUCGUAGAUAUGUGCAGGAAUGCCGAUGAUGAAGAUAGUUCACUGGACGGUAACUGACGCUGAAGUGCGAAAGCUAGGGGAGCAAACAGG
rnacentral:rRNA from 1 species